GACGAACGCUGGCGGCGUGCUUAACACAUGCAAGUCGAACGGAAAGGCCCUGCUUUUGUGGGGUGCUCGAGUGGCGAACGGGUGAGUAACACGUGAGUAACCUGCCCUUGACUUUGGGAUAACUUCAGGAAACUGGGGCUAAUACCGGAUAGGAGCUCCUGCUGCAUGGUGGGGGUUGGAAAGUUUCGGCGGUUGGGGAUGGACUCGCGGCUUAUCAGCUUGUUGGUGGGGUAGUGGCUUACCAAGGCAUUGACGGGUAGCCGGCCUGAGAGGGUGACCGGCCACAUUGGGACUGCGAUACGGCCCAGACUCCUACGGGAGGCAGCAGUGGGGAAUAUUGCACAAUGGGCGGAAGCCUGAUGCAGCAACGCCGCGUGCGGGAUGACGGCCUUCGGGUUGUAAACCGCUUUCGCCUGUGACGAAGCGUGAGUGACGGUAAUGGGUAAAGAAGCACCGGCUAACUACGUG
rnacentral:rRNA from 1 species